GCCACAGUAGCUCAGCCGGUAGAGCAACGGUUUCGUAAACCGUAGGUCGCAGGUUCAAGUCCCGUCUGUGGCUCCA
rnacentral:tRNA from 1 species